GCCCCGCACUGGGGGUCCCCGGCAGCCGCCCGCUGCGGUGGCAGCCACCUGUUGCUGGCCGUUAAACCCGGACAGGUCCGGCGCACCGGCUCUUUUUUUUCAUUUUAUUUUAUUUUUUUCUCCUUUCCCCUACCGUAGCCGUCGCAUUGUUUUGUUAUUAUUUUUUAAUAAUUUUUUGUAAUUAUUUUUAUUAUUAUUAUUUUCACCCGGCUCCGUUCGCCGCCCCUCGGGGGGGGGCCGUCCCGCCGCCUUCUGCCCCGGCUCCGAGGGGGGCCGGCCCCGCGGGACGCAGAGCCGCAAAAAUGGGGCCCCCCCUCGGCCCCGGCCCCCCUCGGGCCCGGGGCCCGUCCCGGGCAGCGGCCAGAGGCGCGGCAGCAGCCGUCUGCUGGGUUCCCCCUCUCCAGUUUCAAAAUUCAGGCAAAUCCUGUCAAGUGACUCUGACAGGGGCGUCUUCCUGCAAAACCCGGAGGAAAGAAUCCCUGCCCCGCCGGAGACUCGCGUCCUUGGUCUCUGUAUUGACAGAAACUGAGGCAAAACCACGUUGCUGCUGCUCUCUUCUUUCUACCGCAGGCACCAAAAACCCCAGGCCGCGGGCCUGUCACACCUCAACCCGCAAAUCCCCCUCCUUGUGCCUGCAGCCCCGUAGCGCACGAAGGACCCUCAGGACCUCGGCUACCAGACAAGAAGACAAGGCGCUUUUACUGCCUCUCCGGUGGCAGCUCCUGCCCAGCUCCUGCGGCUUCACCCUGGCUGUUCCGCCACCGCUUAUCUCCCGCGCACGAGCUAUUGGGACUUCUGCCACGGCAAUACCCACCCGAGGCUUCUACUUACUUCAGCGGUCGCUAGCAUUAUGUACUCAUACAGCCUCUCACCACACGCCUGUUCUGCUAGCAACACAGUGCUUCGUGUUGGCUUCGCAUAUUCUCCUUCCCAAAACAAGCCAACAUUACCUCCUGCGUAUAAAGUUUUAUAUCGAUAAAGCCUGUACUGGUUCUGGAACGGGAAGAAGGGAUGAUCCUGAACUUGUGAGAGGUGAAGAGGAACAGGAUUCAAAUUUGCAGAACAUGUGCACCUUGCAGGAAGAGCAGCAGCGAGGCCAGAAGCGCAGCCAAGCAGCGUGA
rnacentral:lncRNA from 1 species